rnacentral:rRNA from 1 species
UACGAAGGGGGCUAGCGUUGCUCGGAAUCACUGGGCGUAAAGCGCACGUAGGCGGUCCUGCAAGUCGGGGGUGAAAGCCCGAGGCUCAACCUCGGAACUGCCUUCGAUACUGCGGGUCUCGAGUCCGGGAGAGGUGAGUGGAAUUCCUAGUGUAGAGGUGAAAUUCGUAGAUAUUAGGAAGAACACCAGUGGCGAAGGCGGCUCACUGGCCCGGUACUGACGCUGAGGCGCGAAAGCGUGGGGAGCAAACAGG